rnacentral:lncRNA from 1 species
CUCCCAAUUCAUGCUGCUGUUUGGGAGUCUGGGGAUCGUGGCCUUAUACUGGAGGAAGUAUGUCACUGAAGGUGGACUUGGAGAGUUUAAAACUUGUACCAUUUCAAAUUUACGCUCUUUCCAACUUGUAGUCAGGAGCCCUGCUCCUGUGGCCACGCCUGCCACUUGCUGCCUGUCUCCCUGCUUCUUACCUCUCUGGAACCACAGACCAAGCAAACCACAGGCCAAGCAAACCACAGGCCAAGCAAACCACAGGCCAAGCAAACCACAGACCAAGCAAACCACAGACCAAGCAAACCACAGACCAAGCAAACCACAGGCCAAGCAAACCACAGACCAAGCAAACCACAGACCAAGCAAACCACAGGCCAAGCAAACCACAGGCCAAGCAAACCACAGGCCAAGCAAACCACAGACCAAGCAAACAGAUCAAGCAAACCACAGGCCAAGCAAGCCCUUUCCUCUCUAAGUCACCUUGGCCAAGCCACUUUUAUCACA